GAGUUUGAUCAUGGCUCAGAACGAACGCUGGCGGCAGGCUUAACACAUGCAAGUCGAGCGCGCGCCUUCGGGCGUGAGCGGCGGACGGGUGAGUAACGCGUGGGAACGUGCCCUCUUCUUCGGAGUAGCCCUGGGAAACCGGGAGUAAUGCCGGAUACGCCCUUUGGCAGCGAUGUCAUUGGGGAAAGAUUUAUCGGAGGAGGAUCGGCCCGCGUUGGAUUAGGUAGUUGGUGGGGUAACGGCCUACCAAGCCGACGAUCCAUAGCUGGUUUGAGAGGAUGACCAGCCACACUGGGACUGAGACACGGCCCAGACUCCUACGGGAGGCAGCAGUGGGGAAUCUUGGACAAUGGGGGCAACCCUGAUCCAGCCAUGCCGCGUGAGCGAUGAAGGCCUUAGGGUUGUAAAGCUCUUUCAGCGGGGAAGAUAAUGACGGUACCCGCAGAAGAAGCCCCGGCUAACUCCGUGCCAGCCGCCGCCGU
rnacentral:rRNA from 1 species